AUUGAACGCUGGCGGCAGGCUUAACACAUGCAAGUCGAACGAGAGGCGGACGGGUGAGUAAUGUCUGGGCCACUGCCUGAUGGAGGGGGAUAACUACUGGAAACGGUAGCUGCUACCGCAUUCCAUAGCAUGUGCCGAGUUGGGAUGAGCUAGUAGGUGGGGUAAUGGCUCACCUAGGCGACGAUCCCUAGCUGGUCUGAGAGGAUGACCAGCCACACUGGAACUGAGACACGGUCCAGACUCCUACGGGAGGCAGCAGUGGGGAAUAUUGGACAAUGGGCGCAAGCCUGAUGCAGCCAUGCCGCGUGUGUGAAGAAGGCCUUCGGGUUGUAAAGAACUUUCAGCGAGGAGGCGUUACUCGCAGAAGAAGCACCGGCUAACUCCGUGCCAGCAGCCGCGGUAAUUC
rnacentral:rRNA from 1 species